GACGAACGCUGGCGGCGUGCUUAACACAUGCAAGUCGAGCGGAAAGGCUCCUUCGGGGGUACUCGAGCGGCGAACGGGUGAGUAACACGUGAGUAAUCUGCCCUGUGCUCUGGGAUAGCCACCGGAAACGGUGAUUAAUACCGGAUACAACCACUAUAGGCAUCUGUUGGUGGUGGAAAGUUUUUUCGGCACAGGAUGUGCUCGCGGCCUAUCAGCUUGUUGGUGAGGUAAUGGCUCACCAAGGCUUUGACGGGUAGCCGGCCUGAGAGGGUGACCGGUCACACUGGGACUGAGAGACGGCCCAGUGUCCUACGGGAGGCAGCAGUGGGGAAUAUUGGACAAUGGGCGGAAGCCUGAUCCAGCAACGCCGCGUGAGGGAUGACGGCCUUCGGGUUGUAAACCUCUUUCAGUACCGACGAAGCGCAAGUGACGGUAGGUACAGAAGAAGGACCGGCCAACUACGUGCCAGCCGCCGCUGUAACAC
rnacentral:rRNA from 1 species